rnacentral:rRNA from 1 species
GUAGGUGGCAAGCGUUGUCCGGAAUUAUUGGGCGUAAAGCGCGCGCAGGCGGUUCUUUAAGUCUGAUGUGAAAGCCCACGGGCUCAACCGUGGAGGGUCAUUGGAAACUGGAGAACUUGAGUACAGAAGAGGAAAGCGGAAUUCCACGUGUAGCGGUGAAAUGCGUAGAGAUGUGGAGGAACACCAGUGGCGAAGGCGGCUUUCUGGUCUGUAACUGACGCUGAGGCGCGAAAGCGUGGGGAGCAAACAGGAUUAGAUACCCUGGUAGUCCACGCCGUAAACGAUGAGUGCUAAGUGUUAGGGGGUUUCCGCCCCUUAGUGCUGCAGCUAACGCAUUAAGCGCUCCGCCUGGGGAGUACGGCCGCAAAGGCUG